AUGCCCAAGGAAAAAUAAGUUAGAAUCAAAGUUAUUUUGAAAUGCAUCACUUGUGUUCGAAAAGGUGCCAAUGAAGAAUCAACGGAGAUUUCCAGAUAUAGCACUCAAAAGAAUCGCCACAAUACACCCGGACAAUUAGAAUUGAAAAAUAAAUUGUCGUCAUUGUCACAAACACUAGUAGAAAAAGGGUCAUUAGUCUCGGUUCAUAAGGGCCUUUAG
rnacentral:rRNA from 1 species